rnacentral:ncRNA from 1 species
AUUCUCAGGGCGGGGUGUAAGUCCCCACCGGCGGUAAUCCUUGAUAUUAAGGUAGCCCGCGGGCGCUCCAAACAGCGAUUGUUUGGAGGACAAGCAGAUUUGGUGCGAUUCCAAAGCCGACAGUUAAAGUCUGGUUAUGAGAAUG